UCGCUAGUAAUCGCGAAUCAGCAUGUCGCGGUGAAUACGUUCCCGGGUCUUGUACACACCGCCCGUCACACCAUGGGAGUCAGUAACGCCCGAAGCCGAUGACCCAACCAAGAAUGGAGGGAGCCGUCGAAGGUGGGACCGAUAACUGGGGUGAAGUCGUAACAAGGUAGC
rnacentral:rRNA from 1 species